rnacentral:rRNA from 1 species
AGUUUGAUCCUGGCUCAGGAUGAACGCUAGCUACAGGCUUAACACAUGCAAGUCGAGGGGCAGCAUGAUUGAAGCUUGCUUCAAUUGAUGGCGACCGGCGCACGGGUGAGUAACACGUAUCCAACCUGCCGAUAACUCGGAGAUAGCCUUUCGAAAGAAAGAUUAAUACCCGAUAGUAUAGUAUUUCCGCAUGGUUUCACUAUUAAAGAACUUCGGUUAUCGAUGGGGAUGCGUUCCAUUAGAUAGUUGGCGGGGUAACGGCCCACCAAGUCAACGAUGGAUAGGGGUUCUGAGAGGAAGGUCCCCCACAUUGGAACUGAGACACGGUCCAAACUCCUACGGGAGGCAGCAGUGAGGAAUAUUGGUCAAUGGACGAGAGUCUGAACCAGCCAAGUAGCGUGAAGGAUGACUGCCCUAUGGGUUGUAAACUUCUUUUAUACGGGAAUAAAGUGGAGUAUGCAUACUCCUUUGUAUGUACCGUAUGAAUAAGGAUCGGCUAACUCCGUGCCAGCAGCCGCGGUAAUACGGAGGAUCCGAGCGUUAUCCGGAUUUAUUGGGUUUAAAGGGAGCGUAGGCGGGUGCUUAAGUCAGUUGUGAAAGUUUGCGGCUCAACCGUAAAAUUGCAGUUGAUACUGGGUACCUUGAGUGCAGCAUAGGUAGGCGGAAUUCGUGGUGUAGCGGUGAAAUGCUUAGAUAUCACGAAGAACUCCUAUUGCGAAGGCAGCUUACUGGACUGUAACUGACGCUGAUGCUCGAAAGUGUGGGUAUCAAACAGGAUUAGAUACCCUGGUAGUCCACACAGUAAACGAUGAAUACUCGCUGUUGGCGAUACACAGUCAGCGGCCAAGCGAAAGCAUUAAGUAUUCCACCUGGGGAGUACGCCGGCAACGGUGAAACUCAAAGGAAUUGACGGGGGCCCGCACAAGCGGAGGAACAUGUGGUUUAAUUCGAUGAUACGCGAGGAACCUUACCCGGGCUUAAAUUGCAGCGGAAUGUAGUGGAAACAUUACAGCCUUCGGGCCGCUGUGAAGGUGCUGCAUGGUUGUUGUCAGCUCGUGCCGUGAGGUGUCGGCUUAAGUGCCAUAACGAGCGCAACCCUUAUCUAUAGUUACUAUCAGGUCAUGCUGAGGACUCUAUGGAGACUGCCGUCGUAAGAUGUGAGGAAGGUGG